rnacentral:lncRNA from 1 species
CUAAGUAAGGCAUCAGUUUGGUUUUCUAGAGUGGUCCUACAAGCUGGGAUGUAAUUUGGGAGGCCUCUUUGCCUUUGGGAGCGUGUGAAUACAUGUUUCUGUGAGGUCACCAGAAGCUCAAGAGGCCUAGGUCAAAGGGCCUCUCCUCUCUGAGGGAGCUACCAUCAAGCGCCACGAGAUGACAGGACAUCCUGGUGGCCAGGGUCAUCCACGGAGGGCUGCUAGAGGGGAGUGGUAAGCUGCAGCAGCGGGGUAUAGGUGUGACCAGAGAAACAAGAAAGCUUGGUUGUGGGGCCCCUUUCCUGAGGACCCUCUUUCCUGACUUGGGUUGGGGCUCUCCUAAGUUCUUCUUUUUGGUUAAAACAGUAAAGGGAGGAGGAACAAGUGCUGCAGGGAAAGGCUGUGAGAAGAGCAGGCUUGGGGCACUGGCAGGCCAGCUUGGGGCAGGGAAAGUCUGAAGGGUCCUUGAAGUAUCCCGCUAAGGUACGGCAGAGGCAGCUGGGCAGUGGAGACUGGAACUCAGGGAAGAGUUUCAGACUAGAGAUAAAGACUGCAGAAUCACUAUUAUCUGUGCUGUUAUCCUGUUUACACAGGGUGAACUGAGUAUAAAGGUCGGGGGACAAGAGAGAAAUGGACACACGCUAAAACUAUGUGAGAGUGUGUGGGGUGUUAACCCAGGGAGACAGCCAAACAGUUUUCUUCUUUACAUUAAAGCUGAACUUAAAAACUUAACAAGCAUAAUCGCCAAACUUCCACCACAGUGUUAUAGGUGACUUCAGCAAGCACUGCAGGUAAUGUGGUGUCCAUCGGAGCUCCACUGCUGUGUGGAGUAGAAUCACCCACCUCCCAGGAUAACUGCUGUGCACAGAGUGUGGUAGGAACUGGUUUCUUUUCUCUAAAUUCCUGGAGGCAGCCGUAGACCUGCAGCAGAAGAAGGGUGGGAGAACUGACGUUGGUAAUGUGCCUACUGACAUUCUGGAUUAAGGCUCCCAGAGGGAAGAGGCAGCCUGGGCAGCUGCCAACACUACAACAUGGCACUGUUGGCCUUUAGUACGGUGUGUGUCUUUAGAGGCUGAGGAGGAAUGAAUUCCAGUUUGGUCUUCAGAGACGGUCUCACUAUGUAGCCCAGGCUGGCAUCGAAAUCAGUGAUCCUCCUGCCUCAGCCUCCCAAAUGCUGGAAUUACAGCCAUGCACCACUACACCAAGCCUCAUAUUUCAGGAAUUAAGCCUCUUCCAGAUGAAGAAAUAAGGUCCAUGGGGCCAGCUCAGCCCAGCCUUUUCCAUCCAGUUCUGUGAUGCUGCUGCUUCCAGCUCUACUAGCCACCAGCACUCAAGUUUACCUGAAAGUGCUCAAGGCUCACAGGGCAACAGCAGCUGCCCACUGGCCACAAAGGGGUUGACACCCUUCCCAGUGGUAACAGAUGUGCAGUUCUCAGUUGGUGGCAGAGCAGCAAACUCUUGGACGAAGGCCCAUCUCUUCCUCCUGUCUUCUCAAAAAGACACGCAGACCUCUUAUCACCUUAUCUACAGCUCAAGGCCUUUCUGGUACACUGUCCUGCUGGAAGCACAACCAUAAACAUCAUCCUAAACAGUGCAAGUGCUCCAGAAGGCUUGCAGGCUGCUAAAGGAGAAAAGAAUUUCGUUAAUGCCUCCUGCUGCCCCAGACCCGCUGCCAGGCCCUAUAAGAACCCCAGUCUCAGCCUGACUGCACGGCCCCUUGGCAGUGCACCUGGCCCAAAUAUACUCUUGUCUUUGCUACAUUCCUUGUCUCUUGGUAAAUUCUUUUACCAGCCCUGCCUUACUGGCCCUCUCCCCUCUCAGGGCAGGCAAUACCCAUAACGAAAUUAAAGUCCCUGUCUUAGCUGACCCCUGGGAAAAGGCCUAAUUGAAGUCAAGAAUUUUAAAACAGGUGGUCAGUCAGGCCUGUAACCCCAGAGCUCAGGAGGCUGAGACAGGCAGAUUGUCAUAAAUUUGAGGCCAGCCUGGGCUACACAGUGAGUUCAAGGCCAGUGUAAACUAUAUAGUGAGACCCUGUCCUAAAGAGCAAAAUAAAAUAAGUGAUGUCAGAACUUCUUCAUUCAUGGGAAAGAUGUUGGCAGUUUAAUUUUAAUGAAUAUAAUAUUAACAUGCAUCGUAAGACUGAGCAUAUUUCACCCUUAAGUGAAACACUGUAUUCAAGGUAACUUCAAGUGGAUCUUUCUUAGUAAUAUUUAUUCAGAGCAACAAAAUUAUAGUAGUAACAUCUGCCAUUGUGUAAUGAUGGUAUUUUAGCCAAAUUUGAAAAGAAGAAAUCUUCAGGGUAAGAUACACCCAAAGAAUUAUAGAUGUCUCAUUUCCUGACCUUAAAAAGAAGAAUAGUUGAGUGAGUUUGAGGCCAGCCUGGACUGCAUAGCAAGAUCCUAUCUCAUCCCCCCCCCCCCACUGAAAAAAAACUUUAAAGAAUAAAAAGAGGAACAAUUUAUUUUUUGGUGGGGGUACUGGGGAUUGAGCUCGGGACCUUGAGCUUGUGAAGCAUAUGGUGGCACCACUGAGCUAAAUCCCUAGCCCAAGAGGAACAAUUUUUAAAAGCACCUUAUUUGUCUAGACUUGGGCUCAAGAACAAAGGAGGGGAAUAGCUGAUAAGGUGCUGCUAGUGGCCACUGCGGUGCCUGCUUUGUGACCCCAGGGGCCUUCAAGAUUGGUGCAGAAAACAGCAGCAGCAUUCUUUCCACCUAACUCCUUCCUUCCUGAGCUAAAAACUGGCCACUUUCCUCUGAGGACCACACAGAAAUCCCCGUGAGUGACAGGGGAAGCCGUGGGGAAGCAGCUCCUCUGGUCUGAAUGUUUCUGUCCCACGAAAUUCCUCUGCUGAGAUCCUCAUCCCCAGGGUGGCUCUAGGAAGUGGGGACGUGGGAAGGAGGAGGUUGCCUAGUGGGGAGGAACACUCACCCCUUCCCACGUAUGGGCCAGGAAACCGCAGCAUGAGCCUUCAACAGACACCCACACAGCCAGUGCCCACCCUGGGCUUUCAGCCUCCAGGCCACGGGGAGAACAUUUCUGAUGCUCACAACCUGCUCAGUUUGUGGCACUGCCACAGCAGCCAGAAUGGAGCAGGACAGCUGUCCUCGCCACAAGAGGCAAAGCCCAAGCCAUGGCGCCUUGCUCACCUUCAG